UAUUAGCCCCGAUUGCAGUGAAAAUCCUUUUACUUUUUUUCAAAAAGGAAAAGAUUGCAACGGAAAGCGGGACGGAAU
rfam:Flavobacterium frigoris strain DSM 15719 genome assembly, contig: Ga0131223_108